rnacentral:rRNA from 1 species
UCCCAGACUCCUACGGGAGGCAGCAGUGAGGAAUAUUGGUCAAUGGCCGGAAGGCUGAACCAGCCAAGCCGCGUGAAGGACGAAGGUGCCAAGCAUUGUAAACUUCUUUUGUCAAGGGACAAAAUCAGGCUCGAGAGCCUGACCGAGGGUACUUGAAGAAAAAGCAUCGGCUAACUCCGUGCCAGCAGCCGCGGUAAUACGGAGGAUGCGAGCGUUAUCCGGAUUUAUUGGGUUUAAAGGGUGCGUAGGCGGGCCGUAAAGUAAGUGAUCAAAUGGGGGGCCUCACCCCCUCCCCGCCAUUGAAACUGGCGCUCUUGAGUGGAAGAGAAGUAUGCGGAAUGCGUGGUGUAGCGGUGAAAUGCAUAGAUAUCACGCAGAACCCCGAUUGCGAAGGCAGCAUGCCGGCUUCCGACUGACGCUGAAGCACGAAAGCGUGGGGAUCGAACAGGAUUAGAUACCCCGGUAG